CGGGUGCUGCCCUUCUCGUGAACGGUUGCAUUCCGGUGGCCUUAAGCAAUUCCGAGGGAGCUGGCUCUGUCCGGAUCCUGGUCCGGUUACCUGGCGCCCACCUGUAAAAACAGGUCCUCGGGAAUUCGUUGCCUCAACGGUUGCGUGCGGUCCCCGC
rnacentral:other from 1 species